rnacentral:rRNA from 1 species
AACGAACGCUGGCGGCAUGCCUAACACAUGCAAGUCGAACGAGACCUUCGGGUCUAGUGGCGCACGGGUGCGUAACGCGUGGGAACCUGCCCUUAGGUUCGGAAUAACUCCCCGAAAGGGGUGCUAAUACCGGAUAAUGUCUUCGGACCAAAGAUUUAUCGCCUUUGGAUGGGCCCGCGUUGGAUUAGCGAGUUGGUAGGGUAAAAGCCUACCAAGGCGACGAUCCAUAGCUGGUCUGAGAGGAGGAUCAGCCACACUGGGACUGAGACACGGCCCAGACUCCGACGGGAGGGAGCAGUGGGGAAUAUUGGACAAUGGGCGAAAGCCUGAUCCAGCAAUGCCGCGUGAGUCAUGAAGGCCUUAGGGUUGUAAAGCUCUUUUACACGGGAUGAGAAUGACAGUACCGGGAGAAUAAGCACCGGCUAACUACGUG